rnacentral:sRNA from 1 species
UACCCCAGUUCUUUAUGUUUGCUGCCACUCCCUCCCUCUGAGAACCCUUUCCCCCUGAAAAGAUAUAACCUAGCAGGAACUGGUUUGGAAAAAGUUUUUUUGGUAUUUUUAGAGCAAGCACCAGAAGCACCAGGCUUUCGAAGCAGAGCUGCAUGCCAAUGCUGACCGGAUCCGCGGGGUUAUCGACAUGGGCAACUCCCUCAUUGAACGUGGAGCCUGUGCCGGCAGUGAGGAUGCUGUCAAGGCCCGCCUGGCUGCCUUAGCUGACCAGUGGCAGUUCUUGGUGCAAAAGUCAGCUGAAAAGAGCCAGAAACUGAAAGAAGCCAACAAGCAGCAGAACUUCAACACAGGGAUCAAGGACUUUGACUUCUGGCUGUCUGAGGUGGAGGCCCUGCUGGCAUCUGAAGAUUAUGGCAAAGACCUGGCUUCUGUGAACAACCUGCUGAAAAAGCAUCAACUGCUGGAAGCAGAUAUAUCUGCCCAUGAGGAUCGCCUGAAGGACCUGAACAGCCAGGCAGACAGCCUGAUGACCAGCAGUGCCUUCGACACCUCCCAAGUAAAGGACAAGAGGGACACCAUCAACGG